rnacentral:rRNA from 1 species
CCUACGGGAGGCAGCAGUGAGGAAUAUUGGUCAAUGGGCGCGAGCCUGAACCAGCCAAGUCGCGUGAGGGAUGAAGGUUCUAUGGAUCGUAAACCUCUUUUAUAAGGGAAUAAAGUGUGGGACGUGUCCUAUGUUGGAUGGACGUUAUGAAUAAGGAUCGGCUAACUCAGUGCCAGCAGCCGCGGUAAUGCGGAGGAUCGGAGCGUUAUCCGGAUUUAUUGGGUUUAAGGGGAUCGUAGGCGGCCUUUUAAGUCAGCGGUGAAAGGCUGUGGCUCAACCAUAGAAUUGCCGUUGAAACUGGGGGGCUUGAGUAUGUUUGAGGCAGGCGGAAUGCCUGGUGUAGCGGUGAAAUGCUUAGAUAUCACGCAGAACCCCGAUUGCGAAGGCAGCCUGCCAAGCCAUGACUGACGCUGAUGCACGAAAGCGUGGGGAUCAAACAGGAUUAGAUACCCUUGUAGUC